rnacentral:misc_RNA from 1 species
AAGUCGUAACAAGGUUUCCGUAGGUGAACCUGCGGAAGGAUCAUUAAUGAAUAUCUAUGGUGCUGGUUGUAGCUGGCUUCUCGGAGCAUGUGCACGCCCACCAUUUUUAUCUUUCCACCUGUGCACUUAAUGUAGAUCUGGAUAACUCUCGCUUUACACGAGCGGAUGCAAGGAUUGCUGCCGUCGCAAGGCCCAGCUCUCUUUGAAUUUCCAGGUCUAUGUACCUUACACACCCCAAUUGUAUAAUGCAGAAUGUAGUCAAUGGGCUUAUAAGCCUAUAAAACGAAAUACAACUUUUAGCAACGGAUCUCUUGGCUCUC